rnacentral:rRNA from 1 species
UAGGGAAUAUUGGUCAAUGGACGGAAGUCUGAACCAGCCAUUCCGCGUGCAGGAAGAAGGUCCUAUGGACUGUAAACUGCUUUUAGCAGAGAAGAAACGCCUUCAUUUAUGAGGGUCUGACGGUAUCUGCGGAAUAAGCACCGGCUAACUCCGUGCCAGCAGCCGCGGUAAUACGGGGGUGCAAGCGUUAUCCGGAAUCACUGGGUUUAAAGGGUGCGUAGGCGGGACAUUAAGUCAGUGGUGAAAGUCUGUUGCUUAACGAUAGAAUUGCCGUUGAUACUGAUGUUCUUGAAUUGGGUUGAGGUUAGCGGAAUGUGACAUGUAGCGGUGAAAUGCAUAGAUAUGUCAUGGAACACCAAUUGCGAAGGCAGCUAGCUGGGCCUUGAUUGACGCUGAGGCACG